UGGGGAAUAUUGGACAAUGGGCGAAAGCCUGAUCCAGCGACGCCGCGUGGGUGAAGAAGGCCUGCGGGUUGUAAAGCCCUUUCGUUGGGGAAGAAAAGUGUCGACCUAACACGUCGGCACCUUGACGUUACCCAAAGAAGAAGCACCGGCUAACUCUGUGCCAGCAGCCGCGGUAAUACAGAGGGUGCGAGCGUUAAUCGGAAUUACUGGGCGUAAAGCGCACGUAGAUGGCUUCGUAAGUCGGAUGUGAAAUCCCCGGGCUCAACCUGGGAACUGCAUUCGAAACUGCGUUGCUCGGGUGUGGAAGAGGGAAGCGGAAUUCCAGGUGUAGCGGUGAAAUGCGUAGAUAUCUGGAGGAACAUCAGUGGCGAAAGCGGCUUCCUGGUCCAACACUGACAUUCAGGUGCGAAAGCGUGGGGAGCAAACA
rnacentral:rRNA from 1 species